CCGGCGACCGGCGGACGGGUGCGUAACGCGUAUGUAAACUACCUUUGACAGGGGGAUAACAUCGAGAAAUUGGUACUAAUACCCCAUAACAUCACCGGAGGCAUCUUCGGUGGUUGAAAACUCAGGUGGUCAGAGAUGGACAUGCGUUGUAUUAGCUAGUUGGUGAGGUAACGGCUCACCAAGGCGACGAUACAUAGGGGGACUGAGAGGAAGGUCCCCCACACUGGUACUGAAACACGGACCAGACUCCUACGGAAGGCAGCAG
rnacentral:rRNA from 1 species